AUGAGAAUGAAAAAUAUGGUGUAUUAUUAUCGAAAGAAUAACGUAUUUUGGUUUCGUGAAGUUUAAUACAAACAUUUUUCGAUUAAACGACUUGUAACUGAUAAUAAAUGUGUUGUAAUUAAUUUAUUCUAUCACAUGAUAUAAUUAUUAGAGGGGACAGCUAGUUAACAUAUGGGUUUUACCAGUGAACGGCGUGUUGGACUGACUAAACUCUUGUUAUACAUAUUUUAAAAAAGAACAAAUCAAAAGUUUGUGAUUAUUGCAAGUAAAUUUUUUAUUUGUUACAUUUUUUUAUAUUCAUUUUCUAAUAAUUAUUCUGUCUUGUGGGAGCUUUCCAGAAAAAAAUGUAGUUUCAACAGCAGUCUAGAGAAACACCUACUCAGUCACUUUUUUUCGAAAUUUAUUGACAGGGUCAAUAAAGAAAGAAAAACUUCGUCAACAAACCGGUUGUGUCAUAUUUGUUCAGGUAAAAUUAUGUAAUAUACACAUGCAUACGAGUGAUUACCUUUAGUUUUGGGGAUAACAAUCUAAAAUAAUAUUUUAAAUAAUUUGUGUUAAAGUAAAGAGACAUCUAAUCAGUAUUAGGUAGGUAUAUUUAAAAUUAAGUUUCUACUAAUCCACAAAAUCCUUAACUGACGUGACCAGUCAGAACUGACAUUACAUAACUUAAUAAGCUAGUAAUAGUAGAAGUAAAUAGAUACAUAUUUAAUCUUUUUUUUUCCUCUUUUAUACUGUAUUUAUUACUUUAAGCCAAUAAAAAAAGCAACAAAGACAACUUAGUCAAUUGCAACCCUCAUGUGUAAGGUUAUUUCAAAAUGGCUUCCUUUCGCUAGUGAACUGAUCGAUAUCUAUUAAGGUUAAAGUUACUGGGUAAAAUCGUUACUAUACAACUUUGUAUAAUUGAUGAAAAUGAAAUAUGCAUUUCAUUAAAAAAGCAUUGCCUUGAUUCCCAUGUUUCUCUAGAGUAGAGUACAUUAUCCACUAUUUUAUAUUGACCCAGAUACUCGAAAAAGUUUUGUAUGAACACACGCAUUUUCUGUUGCAUAAUAGAUAAUGAAUUAUGGCAACGAUAUCUAUUUAAACAUUCAAAGGUAACCCAAGCAGUGAACCGAAAAAUAUUUGCCAUUUUAUUGCAAAUCAAAGGUUUGACUUGUUGAGCAAUAUUUGGUAAAAUUAUUUAUUAUUGUUACUGAAUUAGUAACUUUCACACGUAGUUCUAUACAUUCAUUUAAAAUGAUUUCUGAAUGAACUGUCAGACUCCUCUUGCCAUUGGCGCCUCGAAGACUACCUCCUGUCAAAAUGACAAAUUGCUGUCAUCACAAAAGAGGUUGUGUUAGGUCUGCCAUUUUCUGAUAACAGUCCUGCUUACAUGAAAGAAUUAUUAAUUUUAGGGUAGAAUUAAAGAAAUUUUCUAUUCAAUUAGUGUGAAAAUUCCACCUGUCUUAAUAAUAAUCUAAUUUCAAUGCAUUUUCUUUCAUAACUGAAAUUGGCUAACGCCAAAUUCUCACUUAACGUGUUUUCAAAAACAAAGAAAAAUUUAUAUAAAGAAAUUUCAUUCUUAUUUUAUUAAAAUAAAAUUUAUGUUAAUCAUAAAGAGGAAACUGAAUUUUUAUCAUGGAAUUCCAACUUGUUCUGUGAUGGGUGUACACAUCAAUAUAACCGUUCAGUUUAGGAAAUGGCCAUUUUCCAACCCAAAAAGUGAUAAUUUUUUUACUUGGUUUUAGCAGUUAUAACAACAUAUGAACACGCAUCACAGAACAAGUUGGAAUUCCACGAUAAAAAUGCAGCUUCUUUUUAUGAUUAUCAUAAAUUUUAGUUAUAAUAAAAUGAGAAUGAAAUUUCUUCAUAUAAAUUUUUCUUUGUUUUUGAAAACUCAUUAAGUGAGAAUUUGACUAAUUGAAAGAAAAUGCAUUGAAAUUAGAUUAUUAUUAAGUCACAAGUGGAAUUUUUACACUAAUUGAAUAUUAAUUUUCUGUAUAAUAAAAAAAAUCUCUGUUAUAAUAAAUAAUUCCUAAUCCUUACAACAAAUUUAGGGCCCCCAAAUUCAGUAAGUCAAAAAGACAAUAAAUUAUGAAAAGUGAAAUUAUUUCAUAGGUCCCAAGACAAGGUAUUUAUACUAUAAUUUUUAUAUUAAAUGUAAUUAAAUUUUUUUUUAAAUAUAAUUGACCAAAAAAAAUUGUAAAUGUUUUAGACCACCACUGACUGAAAUAAAACUUGUGCAAGGCGCCAUUUAUACCCCAAAGUGUAAGAAGUUAGGGGCGGAGACAAAGCAAACUAAAGGGUGAUAGCUGAUCAUCUCGAAGAGCCUUCGCAUUCAUGGGAAGCCGAAAAUAGGAAUUACUAGGGUAGGGAAUGGGAGAUACAAGUAAAUAUUGAAUUUGUCAGUAUAGGUAUAUUGGUACCAAACAAACGAUGUUGUCUCUCAAAACACAUCAACCGUUACCAAAUUAAAUGUUUCUAUUUUUAUUCUAAUCUGUUUAAGAGCAAACCUCUGUAAAAAGUAUUGUAUCUUCACGGUCUAUGCUUUUAACAUAAAUCCAAUUUUGCGUUGUUUGUAGAGAAUAAAUUUGAUUUCCUAAUAAUAUGCCUGAGCACA